CACUUUUGGAACGAUCUGUAUCGUACGCAAUGCAGCCGAAAAGGGGAUGCGGUGUACAGUGCACACGUCGAGUCGGAGGAAUUGCAGCGAGCGUGAAGUCUGCAGCGGUUUAAUUAGCAUCUCCACUCAAGGAUCGGAAGGGUACUUAAACACAAACGUAAGAGGAUUUCGAGGGUCUCUUCCGGAAAACUUGCUUCCAGCUUGCGGACAAGCAUUUCAUGUGCACAUGAGCUACGAGUGUUCCGGUUGAUCUUUGAACCGGCAAUUUGACGAACUAGUAGGCCUGGCCCGAACAGCUGAAAGAUCGAAUCAACAACGAGCAUGACGACGAUGAUCAACGGUCAGUCUCUUCUCUUGUGACUCAAAGAUCGUUACGUGGAGUUGAAACGGACAAGUGGUGAG